rnacentral:rRNA from 1 species
AUUUAGAGGAAGUAAAAGUCGUAACAAGGUUUCCGUAGGUGAACCUGCGGAAGGAUCAUUAGUGAAUAUAGGACGUCCAACUUAACUNNGAGUCCGAACUCUCACUUUCUAACCCUGUGCACUUGUUUGGGAUAGUAACUCUCGCAAGAGAGCGAACUCCUAUUCACUUAUAAACACAAAGUCUAUGAAUGUAUUAAAUUUUAUAACAAAAUAAAACUUUCAACAACGGAUCUCUUGGCUCUCGCAUCGAUGAAGAACGCAGCGAAAUGCGAUAAGUAAUGUGAANUGCAGAAUUCAGUGAAUCAUCGAAUCUUUGAACGCACCNUGCGCUCCAUGGUAUUCCGUGGAGCAUGCCUGUUUGAGUGUCAUGAAUACUUCAACCCUCCUCUUUCUUAAUGAUUGAAGAGGUGUUUGGUUUCUGAGCGCUGCUGGCCUUUACGGUCUAGCUCGUUNGUAAUGCAUUAGCAUCCGCAAUCGAACUUCGGAUUGACUUGGCGUAAUAGACUAUUCGCUGAGGAAUUCUAGUCUUCGGAUUAGAGCCGGGUUGGGUUAAAGGAAGCUUCUAAUCAGAA